UCGACCGACGUCGUGAUCGAGUUUCGCGGCGUGGUCACCUGGUGCAUGCAUCGUCUCCAGUGGUACGCCCACGGAGGGAUCACCAACCAGACGCAUGUGACAGUCGACCGCCCCGAAGGGAUGGAGGGGUGCGAAGCGCCGGCAGGCACAUGCAAGAAGAGUUUCAUGUUUCGCGUCGAGAAGCACGGCACCGGGUACAAGCUGAUGUCGUGCUUCCAUGCGCCGUGCCGCGAUCUGGUGUUGUUCGACUACAAUGGACACAGGUGGCUGACCGUAGAGAAAGAUGGGCGUGAGCCUCUGGUGGUUGUGUUCAAGAAGUUCCAUCUCGCCAGCUUGCCUCCUGCAAAUCCUCCCCAACUAGGCUAGUGCCGAUGCUACUAUGUAUGUGUACUUGCUUAACCGUUUGAUGCAAGGAAUAAAUUUCUAGUAGAAGCAUGAAACAGUCCUAUUUUGCGUCUCGUCCGGUAUUGCUUUCUUUUUUCGGGUCAUUCUAGUGCACCACGUAUCAAAGUGUUUUGAGACCUUGAUCGGAACAUCAUGAGCUCACCCAGCUGUCCACAUGAGUCGAGUUAAUUACAAGAAACCACCACAUUUAUGACUAGGUUUGCGGGAAACCACCAACUCGUUAAUUUAUUGCAAAGAACACCGGAAAAUCUGUUAAGUCGUUGCAAACAGCACUGGUAGGAUGAUUUGGCCCAUUUAAUCAUUUUUUAACAGGUAGGGCUAAUUUGUAAGGGGCUAAAUACAUACACACCGGUGGAUCCAAAAAUAAAAUGCAAUCAACCCCCUGCUCUCGAUCACCUUCUCUCGAUCCGAUCAGGAGGAGGCUACAGCCGCCACCCCUUGUACCUGACCGCGCCGCCCCCACCGGCUCCUGUCGCCACGGCCGGAAGCCCACCGCCGUCCCCGCCUUUCCUCAUCUCCUCCUCCAUGCCAUGCGUUGUCCACGAUGCCGGCUAGGACCUCCGGUAGAGCUCGCGCCCCUAACCUCCAGCGAGGUGUCGUCCCUAAGCCAGCGAGAUUUUUACCGCAUCACUCCCUCCUCAUGCGUGAUGAACCGGACGCCCUAAGCCACCGUGCCCUUCUCCUACCUACGAUUGCGUGCGCCUAGGAUCCGAGUGGCCUCGGCUGCUCCGACCUCUGCGGCCAGUCCAUGGCGCGGACGUCAUCGCUCCUAGGCAAGGACAAGAAGCAGCACGCCUUGUGAGCUCGUCGUUGUCCUCUAGCGAGGGGCGCCAUGGGAGGCUGCAGGCAGGGUCACCGGCGCAGGCGGCCAUGGUGGUUGGCAAACUGGGAUGUGGUCUUAUAGGACGGCGGCUGUCUGGAGGUAAGUGGCGGGAGAUGGUUGUCCGAUGGGGCUGCAAGGGAGGCAGGGGCGGAGGUGCUGCAGGUCGGGCGGGAGGCGACAAACUGCGGUGCGCAGCAACAAGAAGGGGAUGAAGAGAGGGUGGGCCGCAUGGAGGAGCUCCCUGGUAGUUGUCCAUAGGGGGGUGUUGAUUGCGUUUAGUUUUGGGUUCCAGGGGUGUUUGUGGCAAUUAUUUGUGUAGUCAGCUUCUUACUAUCCUAUCCUACUUGCCAGAAAGUGAUCAAAUGGGCUAGAUCACCCUAUCCGUGCUUUUUGCAACGACUUAACAGAGUUUUCAUUGUUUUUUGCGACGGAUUAAUGAGUUGGUGGUUUUCUGAAAAUCUAGCCGCAAAUGUGGUGGUUUCUUGCAAUUGACUCACAUGAGUCCCAUAAAACCCACCUGAAGCGGUCGCGCACUUUCCCUUCUUAUCUCUUCCACGGUUUCAGAUGUUUCUUGUUCGUUCCCCAUCUCUGAAGCCAGCGUCGGUCAUCUCUGCCUCUCCUCGGAUCCAUCGUCCUACUACUCCGGCUAGCUCCUCUGCCAUCCUAAUCUCUCCUCCUUGAGAUCGUUCAUUCUCCACGCCUCCUUCCUACACUGCAGCCCUCUCCUUGGUUUGUGCACCCGGUGCUGCGUGCAGUCAUUGUCGCUGCAUAUAGCGAGCUGGGGGCGACACUAGGGCUGUGACUGGUGUCCGACUUGAUACAACCGUAGUCGCAUAACGGCGCUGCUAUGACCUCCACAUCAUGUUGCUACAACUAGUGAGAGGGCGUGCUACAACCUGUGCAUGGCAAUGCUGCUACACGCCCACUGCCUCCUGAUGUUCGAGACGACAUGCGCACACAACACCUGAUGUUGAAGACGAUACACACACACUACACCCCCCGUGUGCUGCGACUAGCAACAAAUUGGUGUUGGAUAUGGCGCCGACAGUGCUGCAAGUGGCAACCGCCGAGGCUGGUCCUGACAUGGGAUGUUGCAACCACGCCCUCAGCAAGCUAGUGUUGGGGAACGUAGUAAUUUCAAAAAACUUCCUACUCACACGCAAGAUCAUGGUGAUGCAUAGCAACGAGAGGGGAGAGUGUUGUCCACAUACCCUUGUAGACCGAAAGCGGAAGCGUUAGAACAACGCGGUUGAUGUAGUCAUACGUCUUCACGGCCCGACCGGUCAAGCACCGAAACUGCGGCACCUCCGAGUUCUAGCACACGUUCAGCUCGAUGACGUACCUCGAACUCCAAUCCAGCCGAGUGUCGAGGGAGAGUUCUGUCAGCACGACAGCGUGGUGACGAUCUUGAUGUUCCACCAUCGCAGGGCUUCGCCUAAGCACUGCUACAGUAUUAUCGAGGUGGACUAUGGUGGAGGGGGGCACCGCACACGGCUAAGAGAUCCAAGGGAUCAAUUGUUGUUGUGCCUAGAGGUGCCCCCCUGCCCCCGUAUAUAAAGGUUCAAGGGGGAGGGGGCGGCCGGCCAGGAGGAGGCGCGCCAAGGAGGAGUCCUACUCCCACCGGGAGUAGGAUUCCCCCCUUCCAAGUAGUAGGAGUAGGAGUCAAGGAAAUGGGGAAAAGAAGAGAAGAAAGGAGGGGGCGCAGCCCUUCCCCCUAGUCCAAUUCGGACUAGGCCUUGGGGGGGGGCUCCCAGCCUCUCCUCUCUCUUUCCCCUAAAGCCCAAUAAGGCCCAUAUACUCCCCGGCGAAUUCUCGUAACUCCGAAAAAUACCUGAAUCACUCGGAACCUUUCCGAACUCCGAAUAUAGUCGUCCAAUAUAUCGAUCUUUACGUCUCGACCAUUUCGAGACUCCUCGUCAUGUCCCCGAUCUCAUCCGGGAAUCCUAACUCCUUCGGUAUAUCAAAACUCAUAAACUCAUAAUAUAACUAUCAUCGAAACCUUAAGCGUGCGGACCCUAUGGGUUCGAGAACAAUGUAGACAUGACCGAGACACGUCUCCAGUCAAUAACCAAUAGCGGAACCUGGAUGCUCAUAUUGGUUCCCACAUAUUGUACGAAGAUCUUUAUCGGUCAGACCGCAUAACAACAUAGGUUGUUUCCUUUGUCAUCGGUAUGUUACUUGCCCGAGAUUCGAUCGUCGGUAUCUCAAUACAUAGUUCAAUCUCGUUAGUGGCAAGUCUCUUUACUCGUUCCUUAAUACAUCAUCCCGCAACUAACUCAUUAGUUGCAAUGCUUGCAAGGCUUAUGUGAUGUGUAUUACCGAGAGGGCCCAGAGAUACCUCUCCGACAAUCAGAGUGACAAAUCCUAAUCCCGAAAUACGCCAACCCAACAUGUACCUUCGGAGACACCUGUAGAGCACCUUUAUAAUCACCCAGUUACGUUGUGACGUUUGGUAGCACACAAAGUGUUCCUCCGGUAAACGGGAGUUUGCAUAAUCUCAUAGUCAUAGGAACAUGUAUAGGUCAUGAAGAAAGCAACAGCAACAUACUAAACGAUCGUGUGCUAAGCUAACAGAAUGGGUCAUGUCAAUCACAUCAUUCUCCUAAUGAUGUGAUCCCGUUAAUCAAAUGACAACUCAUGUCUAUGGCUAGGAAACAUAACCAGCUUUGAUCAACGAGCUAGUCAAGUAGAGGCAUACUAGUGACAAUCUGUUUGUCUAUGUAUUCACACAUGUAUUAUGUUUUCGGUUAAUACAAUUUUAGCAUGAAUAAUAAACAUUUAUCGUGAAAUAAGGAAAUAAAUAAUAACUUUAUUAUUGCCUCUAGGGCAUAUUUCCUUCAGUCUCCCACUUGCACUAGAGUCAAUAAUCUAGUUCACAUCACCAUGUGAUUUAACACUAAUAUUCACAUCUGCAUGUGAUUAACACCCAUAGUUCACAUCGUCAUGUGACCAACACCCAAAGGGUUUACUAGAGUCAAUAAUCUAGUUCACAUCGCUAUGUGAUUAACACCCAAAGAGUACUAAGGUAUGAUCAUGUUUUGCUCAUGAGAGAAGUUUAGUCAACGGGUCUGUCACAUUCAGAGACGUAUGUAUUUUGCAAAUAUUCUAUGUCUACAAUGCUUUGCACGGAGCUACUCUAGCUAAUUGCUCCCACUUUCAAUAUGUAUCCAGAUUGAGACUUAGAGUCAUCUGGAUCGGUGUAACAGCUUGCACCGAUGUAACUCUUUACGACAGGCUCUUUUUAUCACCUCCAUAAUCGACAAACAUCUCCUUAGUCCUCACUAAGGAUAUUCUUGACCGUUGUCCAGUGAUCUACUCUUAGAUCAAAAUUGUAUUCCUUUGCCAAACUCAGAGCAAGGUAUACAAUAGGUCUGGUACACAGCAUAGCAUACUUUAUAGAACCUAUGACUGAGGCAUAGGGAAUGACUUUUCAUUCUCUUUCUAUUUUCUGCCAUGGUCGGGUUUUGAGUAUUACUCAACUUCACACCUUUGCAUCACAUGAAAGAACUCUUUCUUUGACUGUUUCAUUUUGAACUACUUCAAAAUCUUGUCAAGGUAUGUACUCAUUGAAAAAUCUUAUCAAGCGUCUUGAUCUAUCUCUACAGAUCUUGAUGCUCAAUGUGUAAGCAGCUUCACCGAGGUCUUUCUUUGAAAAACUCCUUUCAAACACUUCUUUAUGCUUUCCAGAAAAUUCUACAUUAUUUCCGAUCAACAAUAUGUCAUUCACAUAUACUUAUCAGAAAUGUUGUAGUGCUCCCACUCACUUUAUUGUAAAUACAGGCUUCUCCAAAAGUCUGUAUAAAAUCAUAUGCUUUGAUCAACUCAUCAAAACGUAUAUUCCAACUCCGAGAUGCUUGCACCAGUCCAUAGAUGGAUCGCUGGAGCUUGCACAUUUUGUUAGCACCUUUCGGAUUGACAAAACCUUCUGGUUGCAUCAUAUACAACUCUACUUCCAGAAAUCCAUUCAGGAACACAAUUUUGAUAUUCAUUUGCCAGAUUUCAUAAAAUGUGGCAAUUGCCAACAUGAUUCGGACAGACUUAAGCAUCGUUACGAAUGAGAAAAUCUCAUCAUAUUCAACACCUUGAACUUGUCGAAAAACCUUUCGCAACAAGUCGAGCUUUGUAGAUAGUAACACUACUAUCAGUAUUCGUCUUCCUCUUGAAGAUCCAUUUAUUUAACAUGGUUUGCUGAUCAUCGAGCAAGUCAACCAAAGUCCAUACUUUGUUCUUAUACAUGGAUCCUAUCUCAGAUUUUAUGGCCUCAAGACAUUUCGCAGAAUCUGGGCUCAUCAUCGCUUCUUCAUAGUUCGUAGGUCCAUUAUGGUCUAGUAACAUGACUUCCAGAACAGGAUUACCGUACCACUCUGGUGUGGAUCUUACUCUGGAAGACCUACGAGGUUCGGUAGUAACUUGAUCUGAAGUUUCAUGAUCAUCAUCAUUAGCUUCCUCACUAAUUGGUGUAGGAAUCACAUGAACUGAUUUCUGUGAUGAACUAAUUUCCAAUAAGGGAGCAGGUACAGUUAUCUCAUCAAGUUCUACUUUUCUCCCACUCACUUCUUUUGAGAGAAACUCCUUCUCUAGAAAGGAUCCAUCUUAGCAACGAAUAACUUGCCUUCGGAUUUGUGAUAGAAGGUGUACCCAAUAGUUACCUUUGGGUAUUCUAUGAAGACACACUUCUCCGAUUUGGGUUCGAGCUUAUCAGGUUGAAACUUUUUUCACAUAAGCAUCGCAGUCCCAAACUUUAAGAAACGACAACUUUGGUUUCUUGCCAAACCACACUUCAUAAGGCGUCGUCUCAAACGUAUUUUGACGGUGCCCUAUUUAAAGUGAAUGCAACUGUCUUUAAUGCAUAACCCUAAAACAAUAGUGGUAAAUCGGUAAGAUACAUCAUAGAUUGCACCAUAUCCAAUAAAGUGCGGUUAUGACCUUCGGACACACCAUUACGUUGUGGUGUUCCAUGUGGCGUGAGCUGUGAAACUAUUCCACAUUGUUUUAUAUGAAGGCCAAACUCGUAACUCAAAUAUUCUUCUCCACGAUCAGAUCGUAGAAAUUUUAUUUUCUUGUUACGAUGAUUCUCCACUUCACUCUGGAAUUCUUUGAACUUUUCAAAUGUUUCAGACUUGUGUUUCAUUAAGUAGAUAUACCCAUAUCUGCUCAAAUCAUCUGUGAAGGUCAGAAAAUAACGAUACUUGCCACGAGCAUCAACACACAUUGGAUCGCAUACAUCAGUAUGUAUUAUUUCCAACAAAUCUGUUGCUCGCUCCAUUGUUCCGGAGAACGGAGUCUGAGUCAUCUUGCCCAUGAGGCAUGGUUCGCAAGCAUCAAGUGAUUCCAAAAGCCCAUCAGCAUGGAGUUUCUUCAUGCGCUUUACAUCAAUAUGACCUAAACGGCAGUGCCACAAAUAAGUCGCACUAUCAUUAUUAACUUUACAUCUUUUGGCUUCAAUGUUAUGAAUAUGUGUAUCACACGUUCGAGAUCCAACAAACCAUUUUCAUUGGGUGUAUGACCAUAGAAGGUUUUAUUCAUGUAAACAGAACAACAAUUAUUAUCUAACUUACAUGAAUAACCGUAUUGCAAUAAACAUGAUCAAAUCACAUUCAUGCUCAACGCAAACAUCAAAUAACAUUUAUUUAGGUUCAACACUAAUCCCGAAAAUAUAGGGAGUGUGCGAUGAUGAUCAUAUCAAACUUGGAACUACUUCCAACACACAUCGUCACCUCACCCUUAACUAGUUUCUGUUUAUUCCGCAACUCCCGUUUCAAGUUACUACUCUUAGCAACUGAACCAGUAUCAAAUACCAAGGGGUUGCUAUAAACACUAGUAAAGUACACAUCAAUAACAUGUAUAUCAAAUAUACCUAUGUUCACUUUGCGAUCCUUCUUAUCCGCCAAAUACUUGGGGUAGUUCCACUUCCAGUGACCAGUCCUUUUGAAGUACAAUCACUUAGUCUUAGGCUUAGGUCCAGACUUGGGCUUCUUCACUUGAGCAGCAACUUGCUUGUUGUUCUUCUUGAAGUUCCCCUUCUUCCCUUUGCCCUUUUUCUUGAAACUAGUGAUCUUGUCCACCAUCAACACUUUGAUGUUUUUCUUUGAUUUCUACCUUCGCCGAUUUUUUUUGCAUCGCGAAGAGCUUGGGAAUUGUUUUCAUCAUCCCUUGCAUAUUAUAGUUCAUCACGAAAUUCUACGAACUUGGUGGUGGUGACUAGAGAAUUUUGUCAAUCACUAUCUUAUCUGGAAGAUUAACUCCCACUUGAUUCAAGCGAUUGUAGUACUCAGACAAUCUAAGUACUUGCUCACUAGUUGAGCAAUUCUCCUCCAUCUUUUAGGCGAAGUAUUUGUCAAAGGUCUCAUACCUCUUGACAUGGGCAUGAGUCUGAAAUACAAAUUUCAUCUCUUGAAACAUCUUAUAUGUUCCAUGACGUUUCAAAAAUGUUUUUUGUAGUCCCGGUUCUAAGCCAUAAAGCAUGGUGCACAAAACUAUCAAGUAGUCAUCAUAUUGAGCUAGCCAAACGUUCGUAACGUCUGCAUCUGCUCCUGCAAUAGGUCUGUCACCUAGCGGUGCAUCAAGGACAUAAUUCUUCUGUGCAGCAAUGAGGAUAAACCUCAGAUCACGGAACAAGUCCGCAUGAUUGCUACUAACAUCUUUUCAACUUAGUUUUUCUCUAGGAACACAUAUAAAAACAUAGAGAAGCAAAAACAUAGGGAAGCAAUAACGCGAGCUAUUGAUCUACAACAUAAUUUGCAAAAUACUACCAGGACUAAGUUCAUGGUAAAUUAAAGUUCAAUUAAUCAUAUUACUUAAGAACUCCCACUUAGACAGACAUCUCUCUAGUCAUCUAAGUGAUCACGUGAUCCAAAUCAACUAAACAAUGUCCGAUCAUCACGUGAGAUGGAGUAGUUUCAAUAGUGAACAUCACUAUGUUGAUCAUAUCUACUAUAUGAUUCACGUUCGACCUUUCGGUCUCCGUGUUCCGAGGCCAUAUCUGUAUAUGCUAGGCUCGUCAAGUUUAACCUGAGUAUUCCGCAUGUGCAACUAUUUUGCACCCGUUGUAUUUGAACAUGGAGCCUAUCACACCCGAUCAUCACAUGGUGUCUCAGCACGAAGAACUUUCGCAACGGUGCAUACUUAGGGAGAACACUUCUUGAUAAUUUAGUGAGAGAUCAUCUUAAAAUACUACCGUCAAUCAAAGCAAGAUAAGAUGCAUAAAGGAUAAACAUCACAUGCAAUCAAUAUAAGUGAUAUGAUAUGGCCAUCAUCAUCUUGUGCUUGUGAUCUCCAUCUCCGAAGCACCGUCUUGAUCACCAUAGUCACCGGCGCGACACCUUGAUCUCCAUCGUAGCAUCAUUGUCGUUACGCCAUCUAUUGCUUCUACGACUAUCACUACCGCUUAGUGACAAAGUAAAGCAAUUACAGGGCGUUUGCAUUUCAUACAAUAAAGCGACAACCAUAUGGCUCCUGCCAGUUGCCGAUAACUUCGGUUACAAAACAUGAUCAUCUCAUACAAUAAAAUAUAGCAUCACGUCUUGACCAUAGCACAUCACAAUAUUCCCUGCAAAAACAAGUUAGACGUCCUCUACUUUGUUGUUGCAAGUUUUACGUGGCUGCUACGGGCUUAGCAAGAAUCGUUCUUACCUACGCAUCAAAACCACAACGAUAGUUUGUCAAGUUGGUGCUGUUUUAACCUUCGCAAGGACCGGGCGUAGCCACACUCGGUUCAACUAAAGUUGGAGAAACUGACACCCGCCAGCCACCUGUGUGCAAAGCACGUCGGUAGAACCAGUCUCGCGUAAGCGUACACGUAAUGUCGGUCCGGGCCGCUUCAUCCAACAAUACCGCUGAACCAAAAUAUGACAUUCUGGUAAGCAGUAUGACUUGUAUCGCCCACAACUCACUUGUGUUCUACUCGUGCAUAUAACAUCAACGUAUAAAACCUAGGCUCGGAUGCCACUGUUGGGGAACGUAGUAAUUUCAAAAAAAUUCCUACGCACACGCAAGAUCAUGGUGAUGCAUAGCAACGAGAGGGGAGAGUGUUGUCCACAUACCCUUGUAGACCGAAAGCGGAAGCGUUAGAACAACGCGGUUGAUAUAGUCGUACGUCUUCACGGCCCGACCGAUCAAGCACCAAAACUACGGCACCUCCUAGUUCUAGCACACGUUCAGCUCGAUGACGUCCCUCGAACUCCGAUCCAGCCGAGUGUCGAGGGAGAGUUCCUUCAGCACGACAGCGUGGUGACGAUCUUGAUGUUCCACCGUCGCAGGACUUCGCCUAAGCACCGCUACAGUAUUAUCGAGGUGGACUAUGAUGGAGGGGGGCACCGCACACGGCAAAGAGAUCCAAGGGAUCAAUUGUUGUUGUGCCAAGAGGUGCCCCCCUGCCCCCGUAUAUAAAGGAUCAAGGGGGAGCGGGCGGCCGGCCAGGAGGAGGCGCGCCAAGGAGGAGUCCUACUCCCACCGGGAGUAGGAUCCCCCCCCCCCCCUUCCAAGUAGUAGGAGUAGGAGCCAAGGAAAGGGGGAAAAGAGGAGAAGGAAGGAGGGGGCGCAGCCCUUCCCCCUAGUCCAAUUCGGACUAGGCCUUGGGGGCGCCCAGCCUCUCCUCUUUCUUUCCCCUAAAGCCCAAUAAGGCCCAUAUACUCCCCGGCGAAUUCCCGUAACUCUCCGGUACUCCGAAAAAUACCCGAAUCACUCGGAACCUUUCCGAACUCCGAAUAUAGUCGUCCAAUAUAUCUAUCUUUACUUCUCGACCAUUUUGAGACUCCUCGUCAUGUCCCCGGUCUCACCCGGGACUCCGAACUCCUUCGGUACAUCAAAACUCAUAAACUCAUAAUAUAACUGUCAUCGAAACCUUAAGCGUGCGGACCCUACGGGUUCGAGAACAAUGUAGACAUGACCGAGACACGUCUCCGGUCAAUAACCAAUAGCGGAACCUGGAUGCUCAUAUUGGUUCCCACAUAUUCUACGAAGAUCUUUAUCGGUCAGACCGCAUAACAACAUACGUUGUUCCUUUUGUCAUCGGUAUGUUACUUGCCCGAUAUUCGAUCGUCAGUAUCUCAAUACCUAGUUCAAUCUCGUUACCGGCAAGUCUCUUUACUCGUUCCGUAAUACAUCAUCCCGCAACUAACUCAUUAGUUGCAAUGCUUGCAAGGCUUAAGUGAUGUGUAUUACCGAGAGGGCCCAGAGAUACCUCUCCGACAAUCAGAGUGACAAAUCCUAAUCUCGAAAUACGCCAACCCAACAUGUAGCUUCGAAGACACCUGUAGAGCACCUUUAUAAUCACCCAGUUACGUUGUGACGUUUGGUAGCACACAAAGUGUUCCUCCGGUAAACGGGAGUUUGCAUAAUCUCAUAGUCAUAGGAACAUGUAUAAGUCAUGAAGAAAGCAACAACAACAUACUAAACGAUCGUGUGCUAAGCUAACGGAAUGGUUCAUGUCAAUCACAUCAUUCUCCUAAUGAUGUGAUCCUGUUAAUCAAAUGACAACUCAUGUCUAUGGCUAGAAAACAUAACCAUCUUUGAUCAACGAGCUAGUCAAGUAGACGCAUACUAGUGACAAUCUGUUUGUUUAUGUAUUCACACAUGUAUUAUGUUUCCGAUUAAUACAAUUCCAGCAUGAAUAAUAAACAUUAUCAUGAAAUAAGGAAAUAAAUAAUAAUUUUAUUAUUGCCUUUAGGGCAUAUUUUCUUCAGCUAGAACUAGCAACAACCUAUGUUGGAACCUUAACCAGCUAUUGCUGGAACCAGUGUCAGGGUUUUCUCAAACCAGAGGCACCUUGGGUUGCAACCAGCAAGCUAGUGAGCUGGAACUAAAAUGGCGGCGAGCUGCAAUCGGCGGGCGCCAAUGUUGGAACCAUCUCGGCGGUGAGCUAAAACCUACUGGCGCUGAUGCUAGAAUCAGCUAUCGGCGGUGCUGCGAUCCCAGAUGACCACGCCAUAACCUGGAAGCCGGUUAUACAAGCCAACCUAAACUAUGGAGUUGCCACCGACAACACCAAAGGCUGCAAGUAGCAGACGAGAUGUCGCGACCGGUAUUUUUGCACCCGCAGAUGUUGUGUUGCGACAAAGCUGUGAGUUUUGGGAUGCAUGCAAGGGGUGGCGGGCGCGCGGAAUUGUGUUGUAGCAGGCUGCAGCUCGCUCAGGUCAACACUCCGUCUUGUCUCUUUAUUUCGUAUCUAUUUCUUGGGACGAAGCUAUGGGAAAGAGAUUACGUGUGAGAUUGAGGUGGAACAGUUAAACAGGGUUGCAUCAAACGGUCGUGUCGUGACCACCAAAAAUUUGGGCCGACCGAAUGGCGCCUAGCGUCCGUCUUCUCUCUUUCUUUUGAUUUGUUUCCUCUAUAUGGUGCGUGUUUCUGUCGUAGGCGACGCAUACAACAACGGUGGCCAAGGCCCAGGUGUCGAGCCCCUAAUCCAUGUUCAUUUCCAUGUCCCUGGUGGUGGUGAGCUACUCUGCCAGCACCCUCCUAGUUAUUCUUUUCCCCCGACCUUGAUGUGUUUGACGAUGCUGUUGAAGAAGGACCUGAUCGUUGGCUGCGGUGCUUCCCCACCCCAUAAGGCCUAAUUUGGUCGCAAGGAGAAAAUAUCCUACGGCCACGGGGGAUUUCCACGGCCAUCGGGGACCCUCACGUUCCAUCACGGCGAGAUCACCAUUUCGGGUUUGGAUCACAGGAAGUAGGGGAGGUGAGGAAAAUGCUAAAGGUAGCGCUCAGGUGAAGGAGAUCGCUAUACGGUAUGUAUGCUUUACCCUGUCGCCUCCCGCACACCAAUUGGUGGCUUUUCUCCCCGACGACUUUAGGCAUGGAUUUCCAACCCGGGGAAAGGACGGGGAUCGGGACAGAAUAUUCACAGCGAGCGAUCGACCAAAUGUCGUGGUAGUUUUCCACGGGCCGAUUAUCCUUGUGUGCUAUGCACCCUGGAUUUUAGCGGGGAUCGCCCCGGGAUAACGAGCUACCAAAUGAGCCCUAAGAGAGCCUUGUUUUCCCUUUCAUUCUCCCAUCUACGCCUUCCUCAUUGGCUAUUCCAUUGGAUGAUUUGCUCUCUUGAUUAUUCUCUACUCUGAUCAGCGAUGGCAGAUACUACUCUUACCCCAUCAAGGAGAGCUCCAGUUAGGAACUCAAGCUCAAGUACAAUGGCAAGAACAGGAACACCUUCCACUCAUGUCCAGCAUUUGCAAUAGCUGCGCUAAAAUAAUGCACUAUCCCUUUUCUAAAAUAAGGCAAUAUGAGAUGCAGUUCUACUAGAAAUCUAGAAUAGGGAUCACGAGAAGUCGAAGCGCAAGAACGACUGCGAGGUAGGGCCUUCACGGGUCAAGGAGGAGGAUGCAUGCCCCUCCAGUGUGGUCAACCUAUGUUCCGGCGACGAGAGUGACAUGUCCGACGAGAGUUACAUGUCCGAUGAAAUUUACGGGGACAACCUGUAGUGUUUCUAGUUUAAGUUUGCAUGUAGUAGUUGAGCUAUGUUUGUAUUUUGCAUGUGCUAAACUUUGAAUGUUUGGAACUUUGGAUCGAAGUAUGAAAUAUGGUCGAAGCGUUUGAAUAUUUGUUUAAAAGAAAUGAGGUUUUGCUGUUUCGGGUGUCCUAUUUAGGGCAGCUGUUGAACACACGGAAUUUUCCGUGUCCUAGAAAGCACUUUUUAGUGCCCAAAAAUUUAACCCACACACAUUUUGUUCAAUGGGUGGAGAAAGCUCCACCCAUUAUUCCCCUCCUCUGCCUGAGCUAACAUCGGUUAAUGAUUACUUUUGGGGGGAAUGGGCGAGAUAGCAGAGAAUUUAUAUGCCAUUUCUUGCUGGAGUCAGUGUUAUGCAGAUUUUAGAUGAGUGUUUCAGCCGAUGAUUGUCUCACGAGUCUCCUCGAUUACCUGUUAUAGUGGUUUGGGCACUGAAUUUUGUGUAGCUUCUCCCCCAGGUUUAUCUACACACAUAAUUGGGGAGAAGUGUAAAUUUGCGACCAGAUACUGUGCACUGUGGUCAGAAUUCUGAAGCAUAUUCUUCUCCCUGAUUGUAAAAGACCAAAACUUGUUGGUUGAAUCAGUCAUCUGCUAGAUUGCUGCUGCCUGCUGCUACUAUGAACAGAGUGGAAAGACCCUCGGAAAGCAGGAGCUUCUGUGUAUGCAUCAUUAAUCGACUUUUUUUAUGCGCAUGCUCCUCUUUAACUCAUUUGUAUGAAGUUCACGACGGCAAUUAUUUCGGUUUUUCCUUGUUUGUUGUCGGGGGUUGGGUGCGACAUAUGCCAACGGAUGGCUUAUCAUGGUGGGAGCGAGUAGAACGUCGCCGCUGCCUGGAAGCGGGAUGAGGCGUAGACACGAACACCGGCGUACUUUACCCUGGUUGGGGGCUCUCCUUGGAGAUAAUACCCCUACUCCUGCGCUCUGCAGGUUCUUCGCAUGAUCACUAAGGCACAAGUGAUACAAAGGUGCUCCUUGAGCUGUCUGCUAGAGGUAGGAGAAGGCAAGGCUAGCUCUCUCCUGCUCUAGGGGAGUGUCUAGUUCUAAGGAAGUGGGAACCCUUUGCAUGGGUGCCCUGGGGGUUUAUAUAGGCCUACCCCCAGGGGUACAAUGGUAAUUCGGCCGGGCGCUGGGCCCGGCCUUCAGUGGCUCCGGCCUCCGGCUUCUUCGCCGACUAUUGGGGCCCGCCGCUUGGUGGGCCCUGCCGGCUGGUCUGGUACGGAGCCGACAGGCGGGUCUGGUCGGCGGCUGCUCACUGUAGCCGUGCUGCUAAUGACGCGGGCUUGGUCAGCUCAGUGUGGCUACAGUCCUGCCGCCUAGCAGGAGAUCACUUUAGCCACAUCUAGUCUCAUCAGGUUAAUGGCAUGCUUGCUUCGAGGCAAGGGACGGCCGCCUGCUGGAGGCCGGCCCUCCUCAUGUCCGACUGGUUCGGCAUCCAACGUGUUUUGUGGUGUCACUGCCCGAUAGGGCCCGCAGCCGGUGGGCCGUACCGACAGGUCGUCGUGGGGAACAGGGCUCCGCCUGUGCGGAGUGACGUCAGGGGGGAAGUGACAACAGUGACACGCCAGGCGGAGAUCUCCGCCUGUACAGGGCACUGUGGCCACGCCCAGCCCGGGAUUCGGGAGCGAGGGGUAGCCACGAUCUAUCUCGUCCUCUUGAUGGUGGCACAAACUCUGAGGGCGCCAGGUGGCCGCCCUCUCUGGGAGCCGGCCUACUGGAGCCGGCCGCUCGUAGUGCCGUCUGCUAGUGAUUGGCCGUCCUCCGGUGGCCGGCCUUUGAGCCAGCCGGCCCUCGGAGGGCGGAGAUUCGGCUUGGGUCACUACGGGGCGAAGCUGGCCCAAAGUUUUGUCAUGUUCAGGGACUCGGGUGAGGCUACCCGUGGCCCAUUACUCCGACAUUUGUAGUAAUCCAUCUUUUUAUAAUGUCCAAUUUAUUAAUGAUUGUAUGGAAUUAACAAAGAAGUGUAAUGGAGCGUAUGCAGAAUGGAGUAGCAUUCAAAUAGUGGACUACCGCAACCAACAAUCGCUACACACGAGUAUCGCCCCCGGCAAUCCCUAUUAACUGCGCAGGUCUCUUAGUAGCGACGUAUCGCAUACUGCCACCGCAAGCUUCAAAGUUAAUAGGGGACGUUUCUUUCACCCUAUUCUGCACUGGGGUUGAAAAAGUUCUAGAACCUUUCAUGUCCAUUUUUUUUUGUUUCCAUUCGAUUUUCUACAGCUUUUACUUUCCAUUUAUUUUCAAUUUCAUAAACAAUGUUUAUUAUCAAGCAUUUUUGUAUAUCAUGAAUUUUCUGAAAUCGCAAUUUUUUUAAAUUUGUCAACAUCUAAUAUUUCAUGAAUUCAUAGUUUUUUCCGAAAUUUAUGAACAUUUUUAACAAACUUAAAAUAUUUAAAUUUUGGGAGUCUUUUUUCAAAAAUCAUGAACAUUUUGAAUUCAUGAACAUUAGUUUAUCCACGAAAAAAAAUUGGCAAACAUUUCUCUAAUCCAUGAACAAUAUUUGAUUUCAUGGACAUUUUUAUUUUGAAUUCAUGAACACUUUUUGCAAAACUGUGAACAUUUUUUAUAUUCACAAAAAUAUUUUUCAAAUCAUGAACAUUUUUUAACUGGCACACACUAUUUUCAAAAUCAUGAAAAAAUUCAAAUUCAUGAACAUUUUGUCAAAUUCGGGAACUUUUUCUGAAUUAAUAAAUAAUUUCAAAAUUCAGAAUUUUUUGAAAAUUCAUGAAUAUUUUUUGAAUUCGUAAACAUAUAAUAUUUUUAUUCAUAAGCAUGUAUUUUUUUAUUUUUUCGAAAAAUCAUGAAUAUUUUUUGAAUUCAACUAUUUUUUUAUUCAUAAGCAUGUAUUUUUUUUGUUUUUUGAAAAUAUCUUAAUACGAAACCAACCAAAUAAGAAACAGCAGAAAAGAACCAUUGAAGAAAGGCUAUUUAAGUACUAAUUGUUUAANNNNNNNNNNNNNNNNNNNNNNNNNNNNNNNNNNNNNNNNNNNNNNNNNNNNNNNNNNNNNNNNNNNNNNNNNNNNNNNNNNNNNNNNNNNNNNNNNNNNNNNNNNNNNNNNNNNNNNNNNNNNNNNNNNNNNNNNNNNNNNNNNNNNNNNNNNNNNNNNNNNNNNNNNNNNNNNNNNNNNNNNNNNNNNNNNNNNNNNNNNNNNNNNNNNNNNNNNNNNNNNNNNNNNNNNNNNNNNNNNNNNNNNNNNNNNNNNNNNNNNNNNNNNNNNNNNNNNNNNNNNNNNNNNNNNNNNNNNNNNNNNNNNNNNNNNNNNNNNNNNNNNNNNNNNNNNNNNNNNNNNNNNNNNNNNNNNNNNNNNNNNNNNNNNNNNNNNNNNNNNNNNNNNNNNNNUCAAGGGUGCGCAAGUCAGGGAGUAUGAGCUCUCAACCCCCAUUCCCCAGUAAUGCACGUGUCACUUGCCCAUUAGCCUAUUAGAAUCGUGUUCAUGAAUAGGGGAUUACGUAGUACUUCCUCCGUUCCGAUUUACUCAUCGUGGUUUUAGUUCAAAUUUAAACUAAAACCAUGAAGUGUAAAUCGGAACGGAGGGAGUAUGUUUCUGGAAGCCUCGGCUUGUGAUGGACUAUCUAUACAUUGUUUUAUUAAUAUCCGGAAAAGGAACCUCUACAUAGUUCUAACCUGCUUCAUAAAAUUUCUCAACUGCACAAGAAGGGAAAAAACAUGAAAAGGUUGGUCACUACGUUGCCUUCGGAUUCAUGAACUCUAGCCAUUCAUUGGUCAGUUGAUUGAUUAAUUGAUUGUCAUAGCAGCUUCCAGGUUUAGAUUUUGGGUCCAGAUAAUGCCCACACGUGUGGCAUGCUAGACAUCCGUUCACGCACUGUGUGUGACGUGAGCAGAAGGCAACCCACACGGGUUGUGUAUGGGCGAACAUUAGAAUUGCCCACACGUGCAGGCGCAGGUACUUCGUGCCAUACGCCCAACAAGUACCACUCAUCUUCAUCCCGCGCGUGUGGCAUGAAGCAAAAAUGCCCACACGUCCUCGCGCAACUAUGUUAGGUACCCGCGGGAUAACGAUUUAGUUGCCAUCCGGGAUGGCAAAUGUAGUUGUAAAAGCAUGGUAACUCUAUCUGUUUUGGUUAACUAUAAUUGUCAUGUCUAAUUUAUGGUAGUUGCCGCGUAUAAACAAACCAUAGUUGCCAUGUGUGAUUAACCACUUGCCACAUAUGGUCAAACAGUAGUUGCCAUGUGUGUUUACCGAGUUGCCACAUCUGGUCCAACCAUAGUUGCCAUGUAUGGCUAAUCACAGUUGUCAUGUGUGUUUAUCUGGUUGCCACGUACGCACAACUGCAGUUGCCGUCUAGCAACGAAUCAUAGUUGCCAUAUAUAUUUACCUAGUUGCCAUGUACGCGUAACUGCAGUUGCCAUCCAAUAAUGUACGCGUAAAAACAGUUCGCCCACACGCGAAUGGACUAGGUGGUGGCUGUGUGGGCAGAAACUAGUUCGCCCACACAGCAUGCUGUGGGGCGUGUGGGCGAACUCUCCAACGCCCACACACCAGCCCCGUCCUACGUGGCACGCAAAUUCUGCCUCAAUCUAUCAAGAUUCGUGCAAACUCGACUGGACGAUGAUCCACGCGUGUGGGCGAGUUGCAAAACUGCCACACGUGUGGGUGUUAUCAUUUAGGUAGAUUUUUGACUUGAAUUUAGGGUGCGUAGUGUCCCCCUUCACUAUUAACACAGUUUGGGUUGUAGCUUGAAAUUUGAUGAUGAAUUAUUCCCUUUUUAAGCCAUUGGCGUUGAGUGAUUUUAUACGCUCUAUGUAUAUUCCCUUUCUAUAUUGGCCUGAUGAGGAUCAUAAUUUAAAUGAUGUAAAUGAAUGUUUCAUUUAUAUAUGCAAACGAAGCUGUAGUUUUUGUUGUUUAAAUGGUACUUAUGAUAUUUUUUUUGAGGUCAAGUACUUAUGAUACUUUUUUAAUUAAUCAUCUCAUACGCUACUUCUGCAACAAUGCAGAAGUAUUAAGGCUUGCUUUCAGGAUGGUGAACCGUAAUGUGUCAAAGUUACUUUAUAAUCCUUUGUGAAUACGGUAUUUGCGGAACUAAAGAUGGCUUGGUUAAACAAACAAUAAGAUGUGAAAAACUAGUUGGGUAAGGUACAGUAUCGUAAUCAACUCAAAUGCCAUACAUUUACCAAGUUCAUCUUGUUUCUUUUACUAUUCUAUUUUCAUAAUAUACAAUGGUAUCGACAGCUAACCUCGAAUUACCCUCCCGUUGAUCCCGGCACUGAAACAGGAGUUAUCCUAACCGAGCACUUCCCGUCAAUGGGUUUGGCUUAACGCCACUCAUGGUGUACCACUCUGUUGAAGAAAAUAGUUGAGUAUAUCGCAGUUAAGGGGUUUUGGGAUCCCAAAACUAAAUAUGUUUGUAUGUACGUGCCACUUUUAUAUGUACAACAAGCCAUAUAAUAUUUUGUCUUAAUGGUCUAUAAUUUAUUUCCAUUUUGCCUCUGAUACAAUUUUACAAUGAUCUCCUAGGACCAGUUAAAUCAGCCAAACGAAAAAUGUAUGCAUACACAUGAGGACUUGUUUCGUAAUUUACUUUGUUGCGACACCAAAAUUUUAAAAAAACUGGUCCCCAAGUAAACUGCUAGAAAAUUUCAACUAAUUUGAGUUUAUCUUUAUUUUUAGGGAACAUAAAUUAGUAAUAUUAUCAUAUACCAGAUUCAGAUUAAAUUUAUUUACAAUGUGCUUGGGAGGAAGAUGAGAAGACGUGGAUGCUGGCCGUGCCAUUGAUGGAGAUGGAAGCCAUGCGGAGGAGAUCAAGAGCAUCAACAACCUCUUGGCCCCGCUCGAUGUUGUUGCGGCCAUCAACAUCAACAACAUGGACCCUCUCGCGAGGCAACUCCUGGAGUACCUGGGCUAGGGUUCUCUCUAGAAGAAGAACAUGCUGCUGACCAAUAUAUUGAACGAGGAUGAGAAGGAUGACAACGAUGGGGGAAGAAAAGACGGUUACCACCACGAGUGAAGAUGACUAUGACAAAUCCAAGUGAUGUGCAUGAGAAUCAUAAGGUAUGUGUUAGUUUGUAACAUAUAAUUGCCUGGACCAUUGCUCUCUAUGUUUACAUCAUCGAGUUACAUUGCAGUUGAAGUGAAUUCCAUUUUUUUCCAAAAUUUUGCAGGUUAUCCUUUACAUAUAUGAAAAAUAUGAUAUACAUUAUAUUCGCAAUCAGAAUAAAUCUAUACAUGUGAAAUUUAAUAUGCAUUGUAUUCAUAAGGGUAAGCGGAAAAAAAUGAAAAGCCUAUGGCAAUGCACGGGCGGGCGUUCUACUAGUAUCAAUUAAUGUGGUCCACCUACAGUCACAUAAUUCCUUAGAUUUCAGAUAUAGAAAAUUCUUUAUUGAUAAUAAUAUCAUUAAUAAAUGCAUGAUUCUAUAUUUCAUUAAUAAAUGGAGCAUUGUAUAUCUCCCUACCUCUGCACACAGAAUAAAUUGGUCAAAAAAAAUCUAUGCCACAAAUGAUGCUUAUCUACAGAAAAUAGUGUUGCGGAAAGAACCAAACCUGUAACAUUGAAUGAGGUCGACCUACAAUCACAUAUUUCUUUAGAUUUUUGGUACACAUAAUUCUUUCUUGAUAAAACUUAACAUUAAUAAAUGGAGAUUGUAUAUCCAACUAUCUAUAUGUGCUAUCUAUACGCAGAAUAAAGAAACAGAUUUCAUUAAUAAAUGGAGCAUUGUAUAUCUCCCUACCUAUGAACACAAAAUAAAUUGAUUGAAGAAAAAAAGUCAAUGACAGGAAUGAGUCUUAUCUAGGGAAAAUAUUGUGGCACAAAGAUACGAACCUAGGACAUUUAAUCAGGUCCACUUACGAUCAUUAAUAAAUGGAGGAUUAUAUAUCCAAUAAUAUAUAUGAAAGAAAAAACAUUUCGUUAAUAAAUUGAACAUUGUAUAUCUUCCUACCCAUGCACACACAAUAAAUUGACCGAAGAAAAAAAUCUAUGACACUAAUGAGGCUUAUCUACAGAAAAUAUUGCGGCAGAAAGAACCAAAUCCAGGACAUUGAAUGAGGUUACAAUCUUGAACUACUACUAUGCAUAUCUUUUCUACUUAAAUGCUAGCAAUUAAUUGUUGCUCACCACAGACCGCACUAUCUAUAUAAUCCUACUAUCUGGAUGCCCCAAGCAACAACAUCAACUUAUUGUAAGUUAAUACUUUCAUAGACAUGGAGCGCUUUUGUUUCUUGGUCAUCCUCUCACUCUCUGGCUUGGCUGUUGCCUUGCAGCUGACCACCCCGUGCAACGCUGCGCAAGCUCAGCCACCACCGGUCUACGACAUAGAUGGCCACGAGUUAACAGGUAACAACAUGUACACCAUCAUGGCAGCGGAUCGCAAUCUGAGCGACCAUUGUGUCUCCGCUGGCUCAUUUCGGAGGGAGGAAUGUCAUAAGCAUGCGACCCUGACACCGUGCAAGCAAUUGGGCGGGACGCGAGGCGUGCAUGUGUCGAUCAAGCCGGCGGAGGCGAGCGAUGGCUCUCUGGCAAGGGAGCGUCAAUCCGCCUCUCGACCAACGUCGUGAUCGAAUUCAAAGGCGUGGUCACCUGGUGCAAGCACCAUCUCCAGUGGUACGUCCAUGGAGAGAUCACGAACCAGACGCAUGUGACCGCCAGCUGCUUCAGAGGGAUGAAGGGAUGCCAGCCGUCGGCAGGCACAUGCAAGGAACAGAGUUUCCUGUUCCGCAUCGAGAGGCACGAGAACGUAUACAAGCUAACGUCGUGCUUCCAUGCGCCGUGUCGUGAUCUGGUGUUGUUCGAAUACGCCGGCCAAAGGUGGCUGACCGUAGAGAAAGAUGGGCGUGAGCCUCUGGCGGUCGUGUUCAAGAAGUUCCCUCUCGCCAGCUUGCCACCUGCGAGUGCUCCCCAACUAGGCUAGUGUGUAUGCUACUGUGUAUGUGUACUUGCUUGACCGUUCGAUGCGAGGAAUAAAUUUCAAGUAGAAGCAUGAAACUGUCCUUUUUUUGCUGGUCGUCCACGGUAUUGCUUUCUCUUAUAAGGUCGUCAUUGUUAGGGUCCCAACUCCCAACUGCUAACCGAUC
rnacentral:lncRNA from 1 species